UUGGAUAUCAAAAAAUAUUUUUCAUUUCGGCUAAAAAUAUUUAGACAUCCAUAACCUAAAUUUAAAACAUCCCUCAGCACAGUAUCAUAAACAUCCAUAACCUAAAUUUAUUUAUAAUAUCGCUCCUUGGAGUCCAAAAUUAUUCCGGUAUACCGAUCUUGGCGACGACGCCGGUUUAUUUUGAUAGCGAGACCUUUUCUCUCGUCUCUUUCCAAGCUUCCUCCCAUCUCUCGGAGGCGACCGAUCACCAUCGCGGCCUCUCUCCCGUCUAUCCCAUCAUAUCGCGAACCCAAGGCCUAGGGUUCCAUCUCCAAUCUGCUAUCUAUCCCAUCAGAUCUCGAACCCUAUACCUAGGGUUCCAUCUCCUCCAAGCUCACGGGUUCUCCGAUCGCUCCAAGAUUUUACAUUACUGCUUCUCUAGCAGUAGCCUGACCAGGACAAUCAGCUUAUCUGUCUCGCUGUUUGCAUCAGAAGUCAAAAUAUAUUUAAUCUUCAUUGCAGCUGUCUUUUGAAAAUGGCUAUGUAUAUUCGUGUAAAGCGCAACAAGACAACCUACUUUGUGCAGUGUGAUCCAACUGAGACAGCUUUAGACAUUAAGCAGAAAUUGCAAACUUUGAUUGAUGAACCAAGCACUAAUCAGUGUUUAACCUUGGUAGCAACUAAUGAUGUCUUAGAUGAUUCAAAGACAUUAGCUGAACAGAAGGUUGAGAAUGAUGCUGUUGUGGCAUUGACUCUCAGAAAAGUGAGUCAUUGCAAAGUGCUGCUACUCCUUGUCAAAAAGUCUUGAUUGGGUCCACCAUGUAGCAUAUUGAUGGCAAUGAAUUUGAGGAAGUGUACAUUGCACAACCAGAAAACUUGAAGUCAUUCUCUUGAUGCAGAGAAUGGCAGACUACCAUUUGCUUGAAACUUCUCAUAUCUGUAAUCUCUUAAUGCGACAUAUUAAGUGCACUAGAGACGGGGAUCCAUUUUCACCUACGUGUAAUUUUCCAUUGUGCUCUUCUGCGGAGCUACUAUGAUAUACUUAAAGAGUCCUGAUGGUAUCUGCUAUAAAGCGAAGCAUAGCAAAGUUCACUUACAGAAGCUGUGUUCUUCCAUAUUUUGCUGCCAUAAUUUAUUGAUUUGCUAUUAAGAAA